rnacentral:rRNA from 1 species
CGUAGGGUGCGAGCGUUAAUCGGAAUUACUGGGCGUAAAGCGUGCGCAGGCGGUUUAGUAAGACAGGCGUGAAAUCCCCGGGCUCAACCUGGGAACUGCGCUUGUGACUGCUAAGCUAGAGUACGGCAGAGGGGGUGGAAUUCCACGUGUAGCAGUGAAAUGCGUAGAGAUGUGGAGGAACACCAAUCGGCGAAGGCAGCCCCCUGGGUCGAUACUGACGCUCAUGCACGAAAGCGUGGGUAGCAAACAGGAUUAGAUACCCUGGUAGUCCACGCCCCAAACGAUGUCAACUAGGUGUUGGGAGGGUAAAACCUUUUAGUACCGGAGCUAACGCGUGAAGUUGACCGCCGUGGGGAGUACGGCCGCAAGGUUA